UACGGGGGGGGCAAGCGUUGUUCGGAAUUACUGGGCGUAAAGGGCUCGUAGGCGGCCAACUAAGUCAGACGUGAAAUCCCCAGGCUCAACCUGGGAACUGCGUCCGAUACUGGAUGGCUUGAAUUCGGGAGAGGGAUGCAGAAUUCCAGGUGUAGCGGUGAAAUGCGUAGAUAUCUGGAGGAAUACCGGUGGCGAAGGCGGCAUCCUGGACCGACAUUGACGCUGAGGAGCGAAAGCUAGGGGAGCAAACGGG
rnacentral:rRNA from 1 species